AACAGAGGCUACUUGUGGAGAUGUCUGCUUACUUGCUCGAUAUUUAAGGAACUCAUUAUACUACCGUUCAGAUACAGAAAAUCCAUGGUUACCUGUAGGCUCGGUCUGAGCAACAUAAGUAUUUUUGGGUGGUCGACCAUGCAAAGAAUAGCACACGUCACGAGUGUGACCAAGUUUAUGACAAUAAGAACACUUGGGUCUAGAU
rnacentral:lncRNA from 1 species